rnacentral:rRNA from 1 species
GACGUAGGUGGCAAGCGUUGUCCGGAGUUAUUGGGCGUAAAGCGCGCGCAGGCGGUUCGGUAAGUCCAUGGUGAAAGCGCCCGGCUCAACUGGGCGAGGGCCGUGGGGACUGCCGGGCUGGAGGGCAGCAGAGGCGAGUGGAAUUCCGGGUGUAGUGGUGAAAUGCGUAGAGAUCCGGAGGAACACCAGUGGCGAAGGCGGCUCGCUGGGCUCUACCUGACGCUGAGGCGCGAAAGCGUGGGGAGCGAACGGG